rnacentral:tRNA from 1 species
GCCCGAGUGGCGAAGUUUGGUAGACGCGUCGGCCCUAGGAGCCGAUGAGGGAAACCUCGUGUGGGUUCGAGUCCCACCUCGGGCA